rfam:Octopus bimaculoides Scaffold118187_contig_2, whole genome shotgun sequence.
UUUUGGCUGUACAUAUAUUAACUAAAAUUGGAGUGAUACAAAGAAGAUUAGCAUGACUUCUUUGCAAGGAGGACAUGCAAAUUUGUGAAACAUUCCAUAUUUUC